rnacentral:rRNA from 1 species
CCUACGGGAGGCAGCAGUGGGGAAUAUUGCACAAUGGGGGAAACCCUGAUGCAGCGACGCCGCGUGAGGGAAGAAGUAAUUCGUUAUGUAAAGUUCUAUCAGCAGGGAAGAUAAUGACGGUACCUGAGUAAGAAGCCCCGGCUAACUACGUGCCAGCAGCCGCGGUAAUACGUAGGGUGCAAGCGUUAUCCGGAUUCACUGGGUGUAAAGGGAGCGUAGGCGGGAGUGCAAGUCUGGAGUGAAAGGCGGGGGCUCAACCCUCGGACUGCUCUUGAAACUGUACGGCUGGAGUGCGGGAGAGGUAGGUGGAAUUCCUGGUGUAGCGGUGAAAUGCGUAGAGAUGAAGAGGAACACUAAUGGCGAAGGCGGCUUACUGGACUGUAACUGACGUUGAGGCGCGAAAGCGUGGGGAGCAAACAGGAUUAGAUACCCCAGUAGUC